GCUGUUUAUCCUUCAUUUAUGAAAAACAAUGACAUCUCAAUGCCAUUCAUCAUUCCUUAAAAUUCCUUCCUAGGUUUUGAAAAAUUAUUUAAAUACCAAGAAGUCAGCAAUUGUAAUCAUCCACAUGAGAGAUAAACCUGAACUAGAGGAGAAGAUGUGUGAGUGGAAAUAAAGAGACAUAUGAAAUAUGAAGGUUGCUUCUAGAGUCCUAAUUUGAGGAAUAGAGUACAAAAGAGAGACAAGAAGAAAUAUUUAAUAAGAAUCUCCUAUGCUCCAGACACUCUAACAGACUUGAUCUCAAUCCAGAUAAGACAUCAGUCUUCAGGACACCAGGAGUCAUGUGGGACAAGAAGCAAGCAUCUUGCUAUAUUCCAGAGAGCCAAAAAUGGGGCAUCCUUAUACAGAUAAGUCUUGGACCUUGUUCUUAACCCAAUCAAAUGGUGGAAAAUAAGACAGAAAUGGAUUUUCAAAACUUUCCAUUUAAAAAAUAAAGAGGGAUGAGCUCAAAUUAUAAUUUGAGUU
rnacentral:lncRNA from 1 species